CCUACGGGAGGCAGCAGUGAGGAAUAUUGGUCAAUGGACGAGAGUCUGAACCAGCCAAGUAGCGUGAAGGAUGACUGCCCUAUGGGUUGUAAACUUCUUUUAUAUGGGAAUAAAAUGUUCCACGUGUGGGAUUUUGUAUGUACCAUAUGAAUAAGGAUCGGCUAACUCCGUGCCAGCAGCCGCGGUAAUACGGAGGAUCCGAGCGUUAUCCGGAUUUAUUGGGUUUAAAGGGAGCGUAGGUGGGUUGUUAAGUCAGUUGUGAAAGUUUGCGGCUCAACCGUAAAAUUGCAGUUGAAACUGGCAGACUUGAGUACAGUAGAGGUAGGCGGAAUUCGUGGUGUAGCGGUGAAAUGCUUAGAUAUCACGAAGAACUCCGAUUGCGAAGGCAGCUCACUGGACUGCAACUGACACUGAGGCUCGAAAGUGUGGGUAUCAAACAGGAUUAGAUACCCCAGUAGUC
rnacentral:rRNA from 1 species